rnacentral:rRNA from 1 species
UUUCAUGGAGAGUUUGAUCCUGGCUCAGGACGAACGCUGGCGGCGUGCCUAAUACAUGCAAGUCGAGCGAAUCUUGAGGUGCUUGCACCUCUUGGUUAGCGGCGGAUGGGUGAGUAACACGUGGGCAACCUGCCUGUAAGACUGGGAUAACAUCGGGAAACCGAUGCUAAUACCGGAUAAUCCUUUUCCUCUCAUGAGGGAAAGCUGAAAGUCGGCUUCUCGCUGACACUUACAGAUGGGCCCGCGGCGCAUUAGCUAGUUGGUGAGGUAACGGCUCACCAAGGCGACGAUGCGUAGCCGACCUGAGAGGGUGAUCGGCCACACUGGGACUGAGACACGGCCCAGACUCCUACGGGAGGCAGCAGUAGGGAAUCUUCCGCAAUGGACGAAAGUCUGACGGAGCAA